rnacentral:tRNA from 1 species
GGCUCGGUAGCUCAGUUGGUAGAGCAUACGAUUGAAGCUCGUAGUGUCGGGGGGUCGGUUCCCUCCCGCGCCA